CAGGCAGGGAGUUGAAGACAAGCUGUUGCCAAGCAGCAUUCAUGCUGAUGAACAUGAUAUUUGAAGGAGUCUUCCACACCUUCCCUGGAUUAGCAGAAAUGGCUGGGGCUUAAGAUCUUGGUCUCCUCCCUGUGCCACCUCUUGUCUGAGCUGAGGCAUCCUCCCAUGGAGAAAGGAGCUGCAAAAUCACUGGUCAACCUGUUCUCCUUCAUGCCUUGUCUAUCCUUGCUAAGAGAGGGGGUGAGACACUCCCCCCCACAAGUCAUGACUUAGGUAAACCACAGGAUCAUUUUCUUAUGGUGGCUUUAAAAAAGGAAGGUUUUACCUUCCUUUGCUUCAGCCUUUCAGUAAUCCUUUGAGAUCCUACAUGUGUUUGUGACCAUCCCUGAGCCCCAAGCUGGAAUUUUUAAAGCACUACCAGCAUCAACCCCAAGCAAAAUAAUAGAUGAGAUGAAAGCAGAAGGAAGCACCAUGUGCUCAGAGUAGAGAGCUGCAUGUGCAGGAAUUUCUUCCAGGCUUUGUGAAGUCCUCUUUGUUAGAAUAAAAUGCAGAAGAGCCAGAUGGUUUGGCCACAGUCCAGUUACCUAAGAAACAUAGCACCAGCACCCUAUCUGAAGCUAUUUCCUCUAAAGAUCACGCUCAGCCUGCUUUGUUCUAAUAACCGGCUUAAAAGUCAACAUUGAGCUGUCAGUACCUAUUUUUUCCUCCAU